UACGUAGGGCGCAAGCGUUGUCCGGAAUUAUUGGGCGUAAAGAGCUCGUAGGCGGCCUGUCGCGUCCGCUGUGAAAUCCCGGGGCUUAGCCCCGGGCGUGCAGUGGAUACGGGCUGGCUGGAGGCAGGCAGGGGAGAACGGAAUUCCGGGUGUAGCGGUGGAAUGCGUAGAGAUCCGGAAGAACACCGGAGGCGAAGGCGGCUGGCUGGGCCUGAUCUGACGCUGAGGUGCGAAAGCGUGGGGAGCGAACAGG
rnacentral:rRNA from 1 species